CCGUUCAUCCAGAGAUGCUUCAUGCGUACGAUCCAUUUAUAUUGAGUCGCGUAGUUUGGGAAAGCAAGCGCAAAGUAGGUGGUAAAUUCCAUUCUAAAGCUAAAUAAUAGGUGCGGGACAGAUAGCGACCAAGUACCCGUGAGG
rnacentral:ncRNA from 1 species